GCAGAACAUGUGCUAAGAUUUUAUUAAUAGAGGAUUCGCCUGGCACCCUAGGCAAAGAUGAAACACAAAUUCAUGAUGUGUUUCAUGUUUU
rnacentral:snRNA from 1 species